CUCUGGGCGUGGCGCUGGCUGUGGUCCCCUGGAAGGUCACGUCCUUCACCCAAAGACGAGCCGACAGACAACUUCCAGACUCUCUUGCUGACUCCGGGGAAUGAGGGGAGGCUCACGCAUGCCCCGUGGGGUCCUUUCUGGUCCAUUUGGAUAUACUAUUUCUUCUUGACUUGGAUGCUUUUUGAAAAUAGAAAAUCUCACCUGUGAUACGACAGAUUCGCUUGAAGAUCUACGGAGGUGCAGCUUCCCGGCAUCAGAACUUCAGGUGUUGGCUGUGCCUUUUCUACAGAGCCCAUGGACAAUGGCUUGCAGCCCCAUCAGAGACUUGUAUGUGAGGACAGCCCCUCAUUUUCCCAGAGGAAACCCACACUUUGCUAAUUGAAGAAUGACCCAGAACUUGAAUCUGAACCUCCUCUUUCCUUCCGGCUGGGAUGCCUUCAACAGAGAACCAUCUCUGCAGCGGCAUGUGCGGGGAGGCAGGUGUACAUGUGGAAUAACCGGGGUGCAAAGCCCAUUCAGGCUUCUACCCACCACAUGACCUGGGUCAAAAUUUUCCAUAUC